rnacentral:rRNA from 1 species
AGUUUGAUCAUGGCUCAGGAUGAACGCUAGCGGCAGGCCUAAUACAUGCAAGUCAAAGGGGUAGCAAUACCACUGGCGCACGGGUGCGUAACGCGUAUGCAACCUACCGUUCACUGGGGGAUAACACCGGGAAACCGGUGCUAAUACCGCAUAAAGCAGGGGCUGGGCAUCCAGCGACUGCUAAAGUUUCGAUGGUGAACGAUGGGCAUGCGUCUGAUUAGCUAGUUGACGGGGUAAUGGCCCACCAAGGCGACGAUCAGUAGGGGAUCUGAGAGGAUAAUCCCCCACACUGGCACUGAGAUACGGGCCAGACUCCUACGGGAGGCAGCAGUAGGGAAUAUUGGGCAAUGGGCGAAAGCCUGACCCAGCCAUGCCGCGUGCAGGAAGACGGCCCUCUGGGUUGUAAACUGCUUUUGUCGGGGAAGAAAAGGGCCGUGCGCGGCACACUGACGGUACCCGAUGAAUAAGCCACGGCUAACUACGUGCCAGCAGCCGCGGUAAUACGUA